UGAGGAAUAUUGGUCAAUGGGCGAGAGCCUGAACCAGCCAAGUAGCGUGCAGGAUGACGGCCCUAUGGGUUGUAAACUGCUUUUAUACGGGGAUAAAGUCAGGUACGUGUACCUUUUUGU
rnacentral:rRNA from 1 species